AGCAUGAGGGAGGGGCUGAUGAGAUACACGGGUGCCUCACGGGAGGGGGUGGUGCUUUAGUUUCUCAGGGCAGCCAGGAGCUGCUGUAAGGCCUGUCCACUCAGCAGCCCCUCACCCCACGACGGUUCUGACAUUGCUUUAUCCUGUCAUCUCCAGACCCUUUGAACAUGGCAGUGCUGGCUCUGUCUUGCUCUGAAGGCUUUUGAGCCUUACCCGCCUGCUGCACAAACCGCUGUAGCUCCUAAUGUGAGUUCACUGUCAUCUCCAAGCCAAAGGGAGCCAACCUUGGAAGCUCCCUGCUCUGACCUUUUGCUGGCUGAAGUCCGAAUGCUAAGACUGACCUCAGGAUGAGGCAGCAGUCUGUAUGCUGAUCUCUGCUCCAGUGUCAAUGCACAGGCCUCUCCAGGAAUGAGAGUCUACAUUUACAACUUGGUGAGGUGGGACCUAGAACACAUGGCUUCUAAGGUCACCUCCAGUUUCAGGCAGGUGGUGUGACUUGGGAAGUCCCUGGGAGUUUUGACCAAUUUACUCCUGGGAGAGUGAAUUAG
rnacentral:lncRNA from 1 species